rnacentral:lncRNA from 1 species
UUCAUUUUAAUUUAUUUACCAAAACAUGGUAGACCCAUAUUUUAAUUUAAAAAAAUAAAAAAAAGGAAAUAAAUCUCAUACAAAUUUACGAAAUCGCCCUUUAGCUUCCUCCUAUCCUUUCUACCAGGCAUCUCCAGUCAACCUUUUCUUUCUCUUCGCAUUUCUUUUACCGGCGACCACCACCUCACCACCUGCCAUCUCCGAUGAACACCCUUUUCAUCAACUUUUCAUCUUCUUUAUCACAGUUCCAGAAACGGUCAGUAAGUAUCUCCGAUGACUGCAACAUAUUUUGAGUUUGCUUUUUCCAAAUAUGCACCAACCCUAGGGGAACGGCUUCAACGAAAGGAGGAUGAAUUUGUGGGCUUUCUGGUUCGAGUUGUGCGAAACAAAACCCCCGUUGGUGUAUGUGUGUUUGUGGCGUUGUGGUUCUGAAUAGCAGGUGGUGGUGGUGGUCGGCGGUAGAAUGAGUUGCAAAUGGGAAAAGGAAUGGAGUAGGAGAUGGCUAAGGGUAUUUUGGUAAAUUACAUAUUGGCUUUAAUUGUUUUCUCUUUCUUUAACACGUAAUGUGGGUCCCACCCGGUGGUGGUGGGCAAUACUCUCAAGUGUCAGCACACACAUCAAGACGUAAAAACCUAAAGCUUAAAUACCAGCAUAUGCUCUUGCAAUGGAGUAGGCCGGCAUUUCCGAACGGCCCUUUCGCUAUUCAGAUUUAGACAGAGAAAGAGGACGACUCACGCCUAAAAGAUUCAUUCAGGUGAUUAUCUUUAUCUUCUUCAUUCAUCUUUCGAAUCGAUACAGAGAUUUGAAAUACAUUCGUUUAUAUGCGUCUGUAUUUGUGAAAACUGAAUUUGCAUGCCGUGAUUUGUGACUGUAUUUGUUGGAUUAAGGCCUGAGUUUAGUCGAAGGGAUUCAUAUUUGACAGAUCUAAAAUUUCCGGUGCUUAAAACUUUCGAACAUUGAUUGAUGUGGAAUGUGGCUGAAAAGUGGAUCUGAGAAAUCAUUUUUCUUGAUUCUGUCCCUCCUUUCUGAUGUAAGCGUUGGGGUUGCUGAUUUAAGCAAAUAUGAACAGCGAAUGGAAACAAUCUCAUUCCGAUUUUGUUAACUUUACUCUUUUUGUUUCGUUUUUUCUUGCUAAAAGUGUUUCUUCUUUAUUGGAGCUGGAUUUUUGUGAAAUUUGAUUCAUUCAACAACCUACGAUUUUCUAUUUUGAUAAAGUAAUUGAAAACUGCAAUGUUUACUUAUCGGUCACUUUUGCUUUUAAUUUUCCUAUAACAUGCUUCCUCGAUUUCCUCUGGAGUUGCAUAAAGAUUUUUGAUACUUUGUGGUUCAUUAUCAAUGUUUAAGUUGAGAUUUUUGAUUUCUACUUUAUGAUAUUUUGGUAAUCUGUUUUCUAGUACUUCAUAUACAUCUACUACCCAAUUUGACAUCAAAACAUUAUAAAAAAAGCAAACUUGAUUUCUGAUUUUUGAUUUGUGGUUAGAUAUACUUGCUGUGACUUUUAAUAAUCAAUUUAGACUUCUGAUUUUUGAUUCGGGUCUCUUUAUCAGAUUUUUUGUAUUGCGAAUUGUGUAUCAGAUUUUUGAGUUCUGUUUUCUGAAAAGUUUGGAUUAUUGCUCUUAUUUUGACAACGGAAAAAGAAAAUCACUGGAUUUAUUUGAGAGAGUUAACAGAUCUUCUCAACUUUGAAAGCUAAAAUCAUAAAUGUUUCCCCAUCUCCCCCAUCUUCUUUAAGACUUUAACCAUUUGACAUGUUUGGGCUAAAAAGAGAAACUGUUAAUACAGAGUGAUGUUUUUUGCAAUUUGCUAAAAUCACUGGAUAUCUCUUCAUUUUAUUGUUCAAUGUUCACCACAUAUUAUUAUAUAUUUUAGAUACACUAGACUUGGAUACUAUCGCCAAAAUAUGACAAAUUUUUUUUUUUUUUUUGUCUUUGUCUUUUUGUAUUCAAUAACAUGCACUGUGUAUCACAUGGGCCUCACCAAACUUUUACAACUUACUGAACUGAUUUUUGUUUAUAUUGUCCAACAGCAACUUAUUAUUAUAUAUAAUAUGCUUUUCCCAACAACCCCCUUAUUUAUGUCACAUCCCUUGCAUCAAAUCAGAUCUAAUUAUGUGGUUGUCCUUUGAAUUUCAUAGUUCCCUCCUAGGUUUGGGCAUGUACUUAACUUCAUUUAUGACUCAAAAGUUAUUGAAUUCAAGUUCACCUUCCCGUGUUUUUAAAUCACAUGACUCAUGAUUCCAUCAACAUUUUCAAGUUAAUAGCAAACUGUGUUUGUUUCUUUUCACAAAUAGCUCUACUUUUUUCGAUAUUUACUAUGUUAGUCAACUUAAUGUUUAAUAGUUUUAUAAAUUUGGUAUACUUUGAAUGUUGUCAGUCAAAAUUGGCAUACCAUGUGAUGCAUUAUCAGUGUUUUUUUUUAUUUCAAGAAAGCGUGUUUCUUCUUAUGGAAAAUUUGGUAUUAAAUUAUUGAGAUAUUUGAUUUAUGCUCAACUAUCAUGGACCCCACCCCACUUAUAUUAUAAGCUAACUUGUGAUAUUUCAAUCUUUUUUUUUUUUUUUUUUUUUUUUUUUAAUGUAUAGGUGACUGAACAAUGGGUGCCGGAGGGCGAAUGUCGAAGGUGUCAAAUGACAAAAAUACCCCCCAACGGGUCCCGUACCAAAAACCACCAUUCACAGUCGGCGAACUCAAGAAAGCAAUCCCGCCCCAUUGUUUCAACCGAUCCGUUAUCCGCUCGUUCUCAUACGUCGUCUACGACCUCACAAUCGCGUCCAUAUUCUACUACCUUGCGUCAAAUUACAUCCCUACCCUUCCCCACC